rnacentral:rRNA from 1 species
UACAGAGGGGGGCAAGCGUUGUUCGGAAUUACUGGGCGUAAAGGGCGCGUAGGCGGCCUGCUAAGUCGAACGUGAAAUCCCUGGGCUCAACCCAGGAACUGCGUCCGAUACUGGUUGGCUUGAAUCCGGGAGAGGGAUGUGGAAUUCCAGGUGUAGCGGUGAAAUGCGUAGAUAUCUGGAGGAACACCGGUGGCGAAGGCGACAUCCUGGACCGGUAGUGACGCUGAGGCGCGAAAGCCAGGGGAGCAAACGGG